rnacentral:lncRNA from 7 species
AUGGGGUACAAAGUGACACUUAUGGGGCACAGGGGGCACUUGUGGGGCACUUAUGUGGCACGGAGCCACACUUAUGGGGCACAGGGGGCACUUGUGGGGCACUUAUGGGGCACGGAGCCACACUUAUGGGGCAGAGUUGGACACUUAUGGGGCACUUAUGGGGCACAGGGGGCACUUACGGGGCAGAGUUGGACACUUAUGGGGCACUUAUGGGACACGGAGCGAAACUUAUGGGGCACAGGGGACACUUAUGGGGCAGAGGGACACUUAUGGGGCACUUAUGGGGCACGGAGCGACACUUAUGGGGCAGAUGAGGCACUUAUGGGGCACAGGGGGCACUUGUGGGGCACUUAUGGGGCACGGAGCCACACUUAUGGGGUAGAGUUGGACACUUAUGGGGCACUUAUGGGGCACAAAGUGACACUUAUGGGGCACAGGGAGCACUUAUGGGGCAGAUGGGGCACUUAUGGGGCAGAGUUGGACACUUAUGGGGCAGAUGGCGCACUUAUGGGGCACGGAGUGACACUUAUGGGGCACAGGGGCCACUUAUGGGGCAGAGUUGGACACUUAUGGGGCAGAUGAGGCACUUAUGAGGCACUUAUGGGGCACAUUGCCCACUUAUGGGGCAGAUGGGGCAUUUAUGGGGCACGGAGUGACACUUAUGGGACACGGGGGGCACUUAUGGGGCUCAAAGGGCACUUGUGGGGCACUUAUGGGGCACAGGGGGCACUGGUGGGGCACGGAGGGCACUUACGGGGCAGAGCUGGGCACUUAUGGGGCACGGGGGGCACUUAUGGGGCACGGAGCCACACUUAUGGGGCAGAGUAGGACACUUAUGGGGCACUUAUGAGGCACUUAUGGGGCACGGGGGGCACUUAUGGGGCACGGAGCCACACUUAUGGGGCAGAGUUGGACACUUAUGGGGCACUUAUGAGGCACUUAUGGGGCACGGGGGGCACUUAUGGGGCACGGAGUGACACUUAUGGGACACGGGGGGCACUUAUGGGGCAGAGGGACACUUAUGGGGCCACUUAUGAGGCGCUUAUGGGGCACUUAUUGGGCAGUUAUGGGGCACAAAGUGACACUUAUGGGGCACAGGGAGCACUUAUGGGGCAGAGUUGGACACGUAUGGGGCAGAUGAGGCACUUAUGGGGCACGGAGUGACACUUAUGGGGCACAGAGAGUAUUUAUGGGGCAGAUGAGGCACUUAUGGGGCACUUAUGGGGCACGGAGUGGCACUUAUGGGGCACAGGGGCCACUUAUGGGGCAGAGGGACACUUAUGGGGCAGAUGGGGCACUUAUGGGGCACUUAUGGGGCAAAAGAGUGACACUUAUAGGGCAGAUGGGGCACUUAUGGGGCAGAUGAGGCACUUAUGGGGCACUUAUGGGGCACAGAGUGACACUUAUGGGGCAAAUGAGACACUUACGGGGCAGAUGAGGCACUUAUGGGGCAAAAGAGUGACACUUAUGGGGCACAGGGGCCACUUAUGGGGCAGAGUUGGACACUUACGGGGCAGAUGAGGCACUUAUGGGGCACUUAUGGGGCACAGAGUGACACUUAUGGGGCAUGGGGGGCACUUAUGGGGCAUGGAGUCACACUUAUGGGGCACUUAUGGGGCACGGGGGGCAGUUAUGGGGCAGAGUUGGACACUUAUGGGGCAGAUGGGGCACUUAUGGGGCAGAUGGGGUACUUAUGGGGCAAAUGAGUGACAGCUCUGGGGCACAGGGGUUCACAUGUGGGGCACAUUGCCCACUUAUGGGGCAGAAGGACGCACUUAUGGGGAACACUUAUGGGGCAGAGGCUUCUCUUAUGGAGCAAAGAAGUUCACUUAUGGGGCAGAGGGCCACUUAUGGGCACAGAGGGUCACUUAUGGGGCACAGGGGUUCAUUUAUGGGGCACAGGGUCACUUAUGGGCCCAGGGGUUCA